UUAGUACUCCCUCCGUCCCAAAAUUCUUGUCUUAGAUUUGUCUAAAUACGGAUGUAUCAAAUCAUGUUUUAGUAUUAGAUACAUCCGUAUCUAGAUGAAUCUAAGACAAGAAUUUUGAGACGGAGGGAGUACCUA
rnacentral:pre_miRNA from 1 species